GAUGAACGCUGGCGGCGUGCUUAACACAUGCAAGUCGAACGAAGCAGAUUGAGAUCUUCGGAAGGAUAUCUGACUGAGUGGCGGACGGGUGAGUAACGCGUGGGUAACCUGCCUCAUACAGGGGGAUAACAGUUAGAAAUGACUGCUAAUACCGCAUAAGCGCACAGUACCGCAUGGUACGGUGUGAAAAACUCCGGUGGUAUGAGAUGGACCCGCGUCUGAUUAGCUAGUUGGUGGGGUAACGGCCUACCAAGGCGACGAUCAGUAGCCGACCUGAGAGGGUGACCGGCCACAUUGGGACUGAGACACGGCACAAACUCCUACGGGAGGCAGCAGUGGGGAAUACUGCACAAUGGGCGAAAGCCUGAUGCAGCGACGCCGCGUGAGUGAAGAAGUAUUUCGGGUUGUAAACUUCUUUUACCAGGGACGAAGACGUGACGGUACCUGGAGAAAAAGCCACGGCUAACUACGUGCCAGCCGCCGCCGUAAGAC
rnacentral:rRNA from 1 species